GACGAACCGUACGAACGUUAUUCGGAAUUACUGGGCUUAAAGGGUGCGUAGGCGGCGCGGAAAGUAGGGUGUGAAAUCCCUCGGCUCAACCGAGGAACUGCGCUCUAAACUACCGUGCUCGAGGGAGGUAGAGGUGAGCGGAACUGAGGGUGGAGCGGUGAAAUGCGUUGAUAUCCUCAGGAACACCGGUGGCGAAAGCGGCUCACUGGACCUCUUCUGACGCUGAGGCACGAAAGCUAGGGUAGCGAACGGG
rnacentral:rRNA from 3 species